ensembl:lncRNA
CCAGAGAAGCAGCUUUUUGCAUUGGAAUGAAAGCAAAGAUAAUUUUUAGCUUAGCAUGUUAUUUGCAGCCCAUACUCAAAAUCACAGCCACUGGGACCUUCCAAAAAAACUAUUGGGAGGGGAACAACAGAUUCUGGAAGCACAGUUAUUUCCUUUUUUAUGUGCUAGGUUCCCAGUAUUCUGGUGUUCGUGGUAAUUUACAAAAUGAGGAAGCACUGAAGUAGCUCUGCAAAGACAUAAAAGUCUACGUAUCAUAGUUUGAUUGUUAUCCAUUUCAUGACUGAUCACAAAUUCCCCACAAUUAUAACACAUCCUUCGUGGUAUCGGAUUAGAAAAAGGUACGGAUUCUACACCAAGAACCUGCAUUUUUAAAGAAGUUAAACCCACAGACUACUCCAAGGAAGAGAGCAUUUCAGCACAAUCCCUUCCAGCUUUUAUAACUACUAAAAGUUUAGAGGUUUUUUUGUUCAAGCAGAAAAACAGAAUGAUGGGCCAAAAUUCUGUCUCACACAAUAGUACCAUCUCUCUAACACUGGCCAAUAGCAGGUGUUAUUCUCCUGGUCUUAUGAAAAGGAAAGAACUUAAGCUGUGCACGGCAAUUUCCAGAGGAGGCAAUAACCACUCAGGGGUACAAUUCAGAAGUACUGCCUAGAUGAGUGCUUUCGUGCCACCUAAGUUCCAGCCAGAAGAGGUGCUUUGGAAUCCUUACAGCUUACCAGAUUUGUCUUAAUAAAGCUCAUUGUGAUUUGUCUUUAUGCUUUCUCUUCUCUAGCAUUGCUUGUUUAUCUUGGCACACAGAAUUUCAUACACAGUGGAUGAUGCAGAACACAGCAAGAUGAACUCAGAUGGCCACUGUCUUUACUGCGCUGACAAACCCUGGAGAGCUGUUAGCCUCAGUUCCGCACAGGCCUCCCAAAUGAAGUAGACAUCUGGCAUGUUUGUUACAGUGAAUAGACAGAAGCAGGAUGAUUAAUGGCUGCCAGAAUCAUAACUUAGGUAUAUAUGGUUUUACCUGUUCGACAGUUUGUUUUGCCACAUUGUUCAAUGCACGUGUUACAUGCAGUAAUAUUGCACAUGGCCAGAUACCCACCCCUCCUGGUGUUUGCUGUAUCCUCUCAGCCACUUACUGGAGUUGCAUUACUCCUUCUAGCUCCCUCAGCUCAUCCAGGACAGGAGUUCUGCUCUGAAAUCAGAAUGAAGAGCCCAAGCAUCCCACUAUCACCUAAGUUCUGGAAAGGCAAAUCUAGCAGACCUCCAAGCUGCAAACAGUUGAGGUAGCUGAAAGAAGAGGCUAAGCAUGUCAAGCUUCCUACACAUCCAUUUAGGCAUGUGUUUUCAGACAGUCUUUCCUAGUGCCCAGCCUAAAAAAGGUCUCCAAAAAGGGGCAGCUAAGAAAAAGGAAAGCAGGGUUACAGGGAAGAACUAAAAAAUAAUGCACUGGAGUGUGAAGGCCACAUGGCCAAAUGGAGAAAAUGAGAAGUGGAGAGGGAAAAGAAAAUUCCGAGGACUGGGCCCAUGACUUCUUGAAAGGAAAUGAUCUGAUGAAGAAGCUAGAAUUUAUGGCCACAGCAAACAGGAGCUAAGAGCUCAUAGCUCUCAGAGGCAGGAGAAACCAGAUGCACAGCUGGAAGGAUGAGUGGUUUGACUCAGUUAGGCCAUUCUUGCUUGUGUCAGAGUCAAGAAGCCUAUUUGUACCACAAGACCGAUGAGCACCAAAGAGCUCCUGGACAGGAUACAGACAUGAGCUUUCCUCAAAAUCAGCAAGGAGAGAUGAGGUUUCUCUCUCUAAAUGUACCUGUAUUAGGAAAAGAUGAAUCACUUUGGUAGCACCUGUCUCUUGUUUGCAGAUUAGGCAACUAAUUCAGAGUGGAUGCUUAGUUUAUACACAGUUAAAAAUAGAAGAGAUUUCCUCUAUGAAAGUUGUUUUAAUAAGUGUGUAUAACUGGGGCAGAUAGCUACCAUGGCAGAGAUAAGCUGUCACAGAGGAUGUGAGUGCUCUUGUCUUCCAACUGAUUUAAAAGAACUUGUGAACUCCACAACAGCAAGAAUUGGGACUCAAGCAAGGGGACAAACACUACAGUCAAAGAAGUUCCUGCCUUACUUGCUAGCAACAGGCAGCUGGCCAUCGGGGAGAACAGUGCAGCACUACUUCACCAUUGUUAGAUGCCAGCAAAUGCCCCAGGUGCGGGACAGCUUCUGUUCAGGCUUGCACAUAACCAAACAUCAGGCAUGUGACACGAAGGCAAAGGGAAGCUGGAUCCUACCAGUUCUACAGCUCUCUGAAGCCAUGUUUAUGAGGACUGUGCCAUGAAGCAACUCGCUAUUCAGUGAGCAACCAUCACUCGGCUGGCAGCAUUCACUCGGCAUGCAAUCAUCAACAGGGCCUUGAUCUGUACCCUGUUUUUUGCUACUUGUAAGAUGGCUGCAGAGCUCCUGAAACAGAAUGGAUGCCAAUAUAAUGAACAAUUCUGAAAUAUUAACUGAAAUAUAAGAAAAAAGUAGCAAUUAGUCUUCUACGCUGCACAUGUAUUUGCAUGGCAAGCCUGCAAAGUGGCAUAAAUAUCUAAAUAUACACACCCAUGCAGGCUCACUCCUAUAUACAGGAACACGAUCGCACCAAAGAAGACUGUAGACACGUGGAACUAAACAUUUUUCCCUUACAGUUUAUACACAUUUAAUAAACACAUAGAUUUAAUGAUUAAAGCACUGGUUCAGGCCAAACAUCCAUUGGGCAAAUGGAAAGUAGCCACACAGCUUCUGACAGGGGCCACUAAUGGAUGCCUAUGGAGAAGUAGGAUAGGCCAGGCAUACACUGACACUUCUCAAGUGUGCUAUCACUCACUCUGCAGAUGUGCACCACUGUCACCACUGAGUUAAAGCUUUUCCAGCCAACAAGCAGAGGUCCUUUAUUUUGUUCAAGGAUAUCUAGAUCUGCAUUACACCUAUAGCUGCUGAACUACUUACUUGUGUUCAACACUGUUGCUAAAAGCCAUGCUUCCAGAACCAUAAAAAAGGGUAAAAACCCAUGUUUAGCAUUGCCUGUCCAGGAAAUACCACCAAGGGCUAUCCACAUGCAGGCCUAUCCUCAGGCCUGCCUUAGCCUGGGCUUUCCUUGGGUCAGUGGAGGGCGUGGAAGAUGGGCUGCAUGACUCAAAGAGGUCCUAGAAUGUGUCCAGAGCUGGCAAAGUGUCUGGAGUACAGGUCUUGAGAGGAGCGGCUGAGGGAACUGGUUUUGUAGAGGAGGUUCAGAAUGUAUGUAAGGAAAAGUUUCUUCUCAAAAAGAGCAGUGAUGCCUUGCAACAGGCUGCCCAGGGAGAUGGCAGAGUCAG